GUCCGAGUCGAGCAAUGGGUAGCGCGUUGGACUACUAAUUCAAAUAUCGUGGGUUCAAUUCCCACCUGAGAUG